UACCAGCACCCCGAGUGGUCGGGACGAUUAUUGGGCCUAAAGCAUCCGUAGCCGGUUCUACAAGUCUUCCGUUAAAUCCACCUGCUUAACAGAUGGGCUGCGGAGGAUACUAUAGAGCUAGGAGGCGGGAGAGGCAAGCGGUACUUAGUGGGUAGGGGUAAAAUCCGUUGAUCCAUUGAAGACCACCAGUGGCGAAGGCGGCUUGCCAGAACGCACU
rnacentral:rRNA from 1 species